UACGUAGGGUGCAAGCGUUGUCCGGAAUUAUUGGGCGUAAAGAGCUCGUAGGCGGUCUGUCGCGUCGGCUGUGAAAACCCGGGGCUCAACCCCGGGCCUGCAGUCGAUACGGGCAGACUAGAGUGCGGUAGGGGAGACUGGAAUUCCUGGUGUAGCGGUGAAAUGCGCAGAUAUCAGGAGGAACACCGAUGGCGAAGGCAGGUCUCUGGGCAACAACUGACGCUGAGGAGCGAAAGCGUGGGGAGCGAACAGG
rnacentral:rRNA from 1 species